UACGAAGGAUCCAAGCGUUGUCCGGAUUUACUGGGUUUAAAGGGUGCGUAGGCGGACUUUUUAAGUCAGUGGUGAAAAGCUCGCAGCUUAACUGUGAAAAUUGCCAUUUGAAAACUGAAAAGUCUCGAGUGUGGUUGAGGUAACUGGAAUAUAUCAUGUAGCGGUGAAAAUGCUUUAGAUAUGAUAUAGAACACCAAUUGCGAAGGCAGGUUACUGAGCCACAACUGACGCUGAGGCACGAAAGCGUGGGGAUCAAACAGGA
rnacentral:rRNA from 1 species